CUGGCGGCGUGUCUAAGGCAUGCAAGWNGAACGGAUCAACGGAGUCAGCAAUGAUUUUGUUGGUUAGUGGCAAACGGGUGAGUAACACAUUAGCAACCUGCCCCGAAGUUCGGGAUAACGGUCCGAAAGGACCGCUAAUACCGGACGUGAUUCGCGGAUGAUGUCCGUGAAGGAAAGCCCAAAAGGCGCUUCGGGAGGGGCUUAUGGCUUAUCAGCUAGUUGGUGAGGUAAUGGCUCACCAAGGCUAUGACGAGUAGCAGGCGUGAGAGCGCGACCUGCCUCAGUGGAACUGAGACACUGUCCACACUCCUACGGGAGGCUGCAGUCGAGAAUCUUCCCCAAUGGGCGAAAGCCUGAGGGAGCGACGCCGCGUGCGGGAUGAAGGGCUUCGGCCUGUAAACCGCUUUUACUUGGGAAGAAGCGCAAGCUGACGGUACCAAGUGAAUAAGAGGUUGCUAACUCUGUGCCAGCAGCAGCGGUAAUACAGAGACCUCAAGCGUUAUCCGGAUUUAUUGGGCGUAAAGCGUCCGCAGGUGGUCCACUAAGUCGUCGGUCAAAUCCCGGGGCUCAACCCCGGAACUGCCGACGAUACUGAUGGACUUGAGACCGGUAGAGGCAAG
rnacentral:rRNA from 1 species